CUCUCUCUAUCUCUGACAGAGUCUAUUGACUCUCUCUCCAUCACGUCUGCUUUGAAAUUCAACCAUGACCACAUCUAGCUAAAGUUGUUUAUUUAGGUGUUUACCUUUGAAAUCUGACCACGAAAUUUCCUCAGCUCAUCUCCAAAAUCGCCGAUUCUAAUCUCCCAAUCGUUAUCAUCGACUAGAAUCGGAGCUUCGAUGGACUGUCUGGAAGAGAGCCGGCAGUACAGAACUACCAGAAUGUUGUCUCCGAGCAUGAAGGCCAAGAUUGUGAACCCUGAAACUGGUGAAGCUUUAUUGGUUAACCGGACCAACAAGCUUUGGUUGAGGGGUCCAACAAUCAUGAAAGGUUAUUUCAGCAAUGAAGAAGCAACUCAUCAACUAUUGACUCAGAAAGAUGGUUAAGAACUGGUGAUCUCUACUUUUGCAUUAUUCCUGAAAGUAUGGGAAGGCCUUACUUUUGCAUUGUAUUAGUGCAGAUGGCAUUUUUUGAAAGCAAGAAGAUCCAAACUUUAGCUGGAUGGUUUCAUUUAAGGAGUUUGCACACCCUAAUGUGCAAAGUCUCUCUGCAAUGAUUACCGUAGGACCACCAUUUUUUAUUGCAACUGUGAUGUUUGGUUUUGUACUUCAGAUGAGGAGUUUGGUGGUGGAGAAAGAA